CAUCUCGCUAUUAGACGCAAUGAUAAAAGGUGUUAAUGGACCAUAACAAAAGUCUCCCAUUGUGGGGAGACUUUUUAAGCUGUU
rnacentral:sRNA from 1 species